AUGCGACAACAAAAUACUCAUCUAACCACACUGGACCGUAUUACCCAGAAGCUCCACAACAUCUUCCUAAAGCCUUAUAAAUGGCUCCGUGGCAUCAGUGAGCAACAACAUGAACCAGACUAGGAGAGAAAGCAAACUGUUACUGCCUGGUUAACCUACACUUCCGGGAUGGAUGGGAGAAGUAACACAAAAAAGCUGGAUCUUCAGGGAAGGAAACAAAGAGAGAAAUAAAAAGGUCAGUAGAUUAAGGUUCAACAGAGGCACCUGAUGCGUACCUAAACUGGAUCGACUAGCAGGUA
rnacentral:lncRNA from 1 species